UACGGGGGGGGCAGGCGUUGUUCGGAAUUACUGGGCGUAAAGGGUUCGUAGGUGGCUUGCUAAGUCAGACGUGAAAUCCCUCAGCUUAACUGGGGAACUGCGUCUGAUACUGGCGAGCUUGAGUGCAGGAGAGGAACGCGGAAUUCCAGGUGUAGCGGUGAAAUGCGUAGAUAUCUGGAGGAACACCGGUGGCGAAGGCGGCGUUCUGGACUGCAACUGACACUGAUGAACGAAAGCCAGGGGAGCAAACGGG
rnacentral:rRNA from 1 species